UGGGGAAUUUUGGACAAUGGGCGCAAGCCUGAUCCAGCAAUGCCGCGUGAGUGAAGAAGGCCUUUGGGUUGUAAAGCUCUUUCGUUCGGGAAGAAGGAUUGGAUGCUAAUACCAUCUAAGACAGACGGUACCGAAAUAAGAAGCACCGGCUAACUACGUGCCAGCAGCCGCGGUAAUACGUAGGGUGCGAGCGUUAAUCGGAAUGACUGGGCGUAAAGGGUGUGUAGGCGGUUUUUUAAGUCUGAUGUGAAAUCCCCGGGCUCAACCUGGGAACUGCGUUGGAUACUGGAGAACUAGAGUACGUAAGAGGGGGGUAGAAUUCCACGUGUAGCAGUGAAAUGCGUAGAGAUGUGGAGGAAUACCGAUGGCGAAGGCAACCCCCUGGGACGAUACUGACGCU
rnacentral:rRNA from 1 species